ensembl:lncRNA
GUGUGUUUCCUGGAGGCAGCAUAUUGUUGGAUCUUGUUCUUUGAUCCAUCCUGCCACUCUGUGUCUUUUGAUUGGGGAGUUCAAUCCGUUUACAUUUAGAGUGAUUAUUGAGACGUGGGGGCCUACCACUACCAUUUUGUGUCUUGUUUUCCGGUUUUCUUCAGUUUCCUUUGUUUCUCGUCCCAUGGUUUAAUCUGUUCUGAUGUAGAGCUGCUACUCUCUGUUGUUGUCCUUCUACUUAUCUCCUCUGCUCUUGGUUUUGUAGCCCCUUUCCUUUUUUGGAUUUUUCAGGAAUGAGGGUUUUCCUGAGGAUUUCCUGAAGAGGAGGUCUAGUGGUGAUGAACUCCCUCAGGUUUUGUUUGUCUGGGAAAGAUUUUAUUUCUCCAUCAUGUCUGAAGGAUAAUUUCACUGCAUAGAGUAUUCUUGACUAAUAGUUUUUGUCUUUCAGUAUUUUGAAUAUAUCAUUCCACUCUCUCCUAGCAUAUAGGGUUUCUGCUGAAAAAUCUACUGAAAGCCUGAUGGGGGUUCCUUUGUAGAUUAUUUCUUCCCUCUUGCUGCCCUUAAUAUUUUUUCUUCGUCAUUGAUUUUUGAUAGUUUUAAUAUUAUAUACCUUGGAGAAAGUUUUUUUGCAUUGAGUUAAUUAGGUGUUCUGUUAGCUUCAUGUACUUGCAUGUCCAGUUACUUCCUCAGGUUUGGGAAGUUCUCAGCUAUUAUUUCUUUGAAUAAGCUCUCUGCUUCUUUCUCCCUCUCUUCUCCUUCUUGGAUAUCUAUAAUCCUAUGUUACUUUUCCUAAUUGAGUCAGAUAUUUUUAAAAAGUCUUAGUUCUCUUUCCUCCUCCACCUGAAUGGUUUCUAGGUUUCUAUCUUCAAGCUUAUUAAUUCUCUUCUCCAUAUGGUCUGCUCAUUUUUAAUGCUUUCUACAUUAUCUUUCACCUCUUUAGUUGUCUUCUUCAUCUGCAGAAUUUCUGUUUAGUUUUUCUUCAGUGUUUCAAUCUCUUUGGUGAAAUACUCCUUCUCUUCAUUAAUUUUAUUCAUGAGCUCAUUGAACUGUCUUUCUGAAUUUUCUUGUAACUCAGCUAUUUUGAAUUCUCUGUCAGAGUCUAAUCUUCUGUGACUUCAAGUUUCAUUUCUAGAGAGUUGUCAUUCUCUUUCUCUUCUCCCAUGUUACAGUAGUUCUUCAUGGUGUUUGAUGAGUUGAUCCUCUGCCAGUGCAUUUGUGGUAGUAAUCACUUUUCUUAUUUGGGUAUGGCUUUGGUUACUUUGGUUCUGAGCUGCUUGUUGUAUUUGAGAGCUUGCCCAUUUCUUCCUCCACUGCCUCUGCUAGAUUUGUCAUUAGUGCCCUUCUUGUACCACUUGUGCCUCUGAGGUUGCCAGUGCCAUGCUUCUUAUGAUGUUGCACAGUCUUAGCUGUCACUACUGGGGUCACCAGGGUACAAGCAUUUCUGCUUCUUUCAGGGUCCCCUGGGUCUCGUGUUCCCCCACUGGCUGUCCAUGGGCUCCCAGUGGGCAUGCAUACGGCUGCUCUUGGGUUGUCUGGGGGUGCUGGUUGCUCUACUGCCAGGGGUGGUGGGUUCACAGGUGUCAUUAUCACUGCCAGGGGCCCGGGGACCUGGGGACUUGUAUACAGCCGCUGCUGCUGGAGGAGCUGUUGGUGGGAGUGCCACCACUGGGUCACCAGUUCUGCUGUGGUUCCUGAAGCUUCUGGGUGCAAGUUCCACCUACCACUGCUAGGGAGAAGCAGGGGUUAAGUAGGGAGAGUUGUUGUUGCUUGCUUUUGCAGCCUUUGGUCUCUGGUGCUAGCCAGUGUGUUUUGAAAACUCAGAUCAGGCUACCCGACCUCAUCUAGGA